rnacentral:rRNA from 1 species
GAUGAACGCUGGCGGCGUGCUUAACACAUGCAAGUCGAGGGGCAGCAUGGGGAGUAGCAAUACUCUCUGAUGGCGACCGGCGCAAGGGUGCGUAACGCGUGAGCAACUUGCCCUCAUCAGGGGAAUAAUCGCUGGAAACGGCGUCUAAUGCCCCAUGGCGAUGGAAUCAGGCAUCUGGUUCCAUCUAAAGAUCCGUCGGAUGAGGAUAGGCUCGCGUGACAUUAGCUUGACGGCGGGGUAACGGCCCACCGUGGCGACGAUGUCUAGGGGUUCUGAGAGGAAGGUCCCCCACACUGGAACUGAGACACGGUCCAG